UAUUAUUAAAAAUGUAAUUAAAAAUACUUAAGUAGUAAUAGUUAUGUUCUUGAAACUUAAAAAAUUUGGCGGUAUUUUAGUCUAUCCAGAGGAACCUGUUUUGUAAUCGAUAAUCCACGAUGGACCUUACUUAAAUUUGUUACCAGUUUAUAUACCGUCGUUAUUAGAAUAUUUUAUAAGAAUAAUAAUAUUCAAUCAUUUUUAUAAAAAUUUAUAUCAGAUCAAGGUGUAGCUUAUAUUUAAGUAUUAAUGGGUUACAAUAAAUUUAUUUAUAUGGAUAAAAUUAUGAAAAAAUUUUUGAAAGUGGAUUUGGUAGUAAAAUUAUAAAGAUAAAUAAUUUGAUUUUAGCUCUAAAAUAUGUACAUAUCGCCCGUCGCUCUUAUUAUUUAAGGUAAGAUAAGUCGUAACAUAGUAGAUGUACUGGAAAGUGUAUCUAGAAUGA
rnacentral:rRNA from 1 species